GACAGAGGUCCCAAGCGUUAGGCGGAAUCACUGGGCUUAAAGCGUGUGUAGGUGGAUGCCUAAGUACCUUGUGAAAUCCCACAGCUUAACUGUGGAACUGCUUGGUAUACUGGGUGUCUUGAGUCACUCAGGGGCGAGCGGAACAAAUGGUGGAGCGGUGAAAUGCGUAGAUAUCAUUUGGAACGCCAAUGGUGAAAACAGCUCGCUGGGGGUGCACUGACACUGAGACACGAAAGCCAGGGGAGCGAACGGG
rnacentral:rRNA from 1 species